GAUGAACGCUAGCGGGAGGCCUAACACAUGCAAGCCGAGCGGUAUUUGUUCUUCGGAACAGAGAGAGCGGCGCACGGGUGCGGAACACGUGUGCAACCUGCCUUUAUCUGGGGGAUAGCCUUUCGAAAGGAAGAUUAAUACCCCAUAAUAUAUUGAGUGGCAUCACUUGAUAUUGAAAACUCCGGUGGAUAGAGAUGGGCACGCGCAAGAUUAGAUAGUUGGUGAGGUAACGGCUCACCAAGUCAAUGAUCUUUAGGGGGCCUGAGAGGGUGAUUCCCCACACUGGUACUGAGACACGGACCAGACUCCUACGGGAGGCAGCAGUGAGGAAUAUUGGACAAUGGGUUAGCGCCUGAUCCAGCCAUCCCGCGUGAAGGACGACGGCCCUAUGGGUUGUAAACUUCUUUUGGAUAGGGAUAAACCUACUCUCGUGAGAGUAGCUGAAGGUACUAUACGAAUAAGCACCGGCUAACUCCGUG
rnacentral:rRNA from 1 species